rnacentral:rRNA from 1 species
CUUAUGCGUUGUUGGGUAGGGGAGCGUUCUGUAAGCCUGUGAAGGUGGCCUGUGAGGGUUGCUGGAGGUAUCAGAAGUGCGAAUGCUGACAUAAGUAACGAUAAAGCGGGUGAAAAGCCCGCUCGCCGGAAGACCAAGGGUUCCUGUCCAACGUUAAUCGGGGCAGGGUGAGUCGACCCCUAAGGCGAGGCCGAAAGGCGUAGUCGAUGGGAAACAGGUUAAUAUUCCUGUACUUGGUGUUACUGCGAAGGGGGGACGGAGAAGGCUAUGUUGGCCGGGCGACGGUUGUCCCGGUUUAAGCGUGUAGGUGUGUGUUCCAGGUAAAUCCGGUUCACUUUAACACUGAGGCGUGAUGACGAGGCACUACGGUGCUGAAGCAACAAAUGCCCUGCUUCCAGGAAAAGCCUCUAAGCAUCAGGUAACAUCAAAUCGUACCCCAAACCGACACAGGUGGUCAGGUAGAGAAUACCAAGGCGCUUGAGAGAACUCGGGUGAAGGAACUAGGCAAAAUGGUGCCGUAACUUCGGGAGAAGGCACGCUGACACGUAGGUGAAGUGAUUUACUCA